GGACUUGCUUCAACACCUUGAAUAUAUAUAUCUUGUACGUCUCUAUGCUCUUCUUUGCCUUCUUCUUUUUGAUCUUCUUCGCCUUCUUCUUCUUCUUCUUCUUAUCACUUGUGUGGCUUUCUUUUGGCAGUUUCUUCUCUGCUAUUGGCUUCUCCGCCGUCGCUUUCUCUGCCGAUUUCUUUUCCGUUGGCAUCUUCCUCUCCAAUCCUCUUUUCCAAUUUUUCUUAUUUUAGAAUCCUAUUUUUUCAUUACAAGGCUCUAACUAAAUUAACAUUUUAAAGAUUUUUACCAAUUACCUUUUUACAUGUCAAAAUCGAUGUGGCAUGCCAAUUAUAGUCCUGCACAUCUCUUUUUUAAAUAUUUAGUGGGUCCCGCAUAUCCU
rnacentral:lncRNA from 1 species